rnacentral:lncRNA from 1 species
ACUAGUUAUCUCCAUAACUGUAUCAUUUUAGGGACUUAAUAAUUUAGAGGAUUUGAUAGAAUGAUUUGAGAAUAAGAGAAGAGAUUGACCUAUGAGUCAUGAAGAGGACUUAAUCCUCUCACUGACUUCACCAAGUCAUGAAUAGGACUUAAUAUAAGCUGAUCUAAAGACACCUAAAUUAGUCAUACUGAUUUACCUUAAUGGUAUAGGUCAGCUCGAAUCAAUCAGUGAUCCAAUCAAAACAUGAUCUACCAAAUUGAUCAAGU